CCUACGGGUGGCUGCAGUGAGGAAUAUUGGUCAAUGGGCGCGAGUCUGAACCAGCCAAGCCGCGUGAGGGAAGACGGCCCUAUGAGUUGUAAACCGCUUUUGUACGGGGGCAAAAGCCGAUACGCGUGUCUGUCUGAGAGUAUCCGACGAAUAAGGAUCGGCUAACUCCGUGCCAGCAGCCGCGGUAAUACGGAGGAUUCAAGCGUUAUCCGGAUUUAUUGGGUUUAAAGGGUGCGAAGGCGGAGGAUAAAGUUAGCGGUAAAAUUGGGGGGCUCAACUUCGGCUUGCCGUUGAUACUGGUCGUCUUGAGAGAAGUAGAGGUAUGCGGAAUGCGUGGUGUAGCGGUGAAAUGCUUAGAGAUCAUACAGAACACCGAUUGCGAAGGCAGCAUACC
rnacentral:rRNA from 1 species